AACGCGAAGAACCUUACCUGGCCUUGACAUGUCCGGAAUUCUGCAGAGAUGCGGAAGUGCCUUCGGGAAUCGGAACACAGGUGCUGCAUGGCUGUCGUCAGCUCGUGUCGGGAGAUGUUGGGUUAAGUCCCGUAACGAGCGCAACCCUUGUCCUUAGUUACCAGCACGUUAUGGUGGGCACUCUAAGGAGACUGCCGGUGACAAACCGGAGGAAGGUGGGGAUGACGUCAAGUCAUCAUGGCCCUUACGGCCAGGGCUACACACGUGCUACAAUGGUCGGUACAGAGGGUUGCCAAGCCGCGAGGUGGAGCUAAUCCCAGAAGACCGAUCGUAGUCCGGAUCGCAGUCUGCAACUCGACUGCGUGAAGUCGGAAUCGCUAGUAAUCGUGAAUCAGAAUGUCACGGUGAAUACGUUCCCGGGCCUUGUACACACCGCCCGU
rnacentral:rRNA from 1 species